AUUGAACGCUGGCGGCAUGCCUUACACAUGCAAGUCGAACGGCAGCACGGGAGCAAUCCUGGUGGCGAGUGGCGAACGGGUGAGUAAUAUAUCGGAACGUGCCCGGUCGUGGGGGAUAACGUAGCGAAAGCUACGCUAAUACCGCAUACGAUCUACGGAUGAAAGCGGGGGAUCGCAAGACCUCGCGCGAUUGGAGCGGCCGAUAUCAGAUUAGGUAGUUGGUGAGGUAAAGGCUCACCAAGCCGACGAUCUGUAGCUGGUCUGAGAGGACGACCAGCCACACUGGGACUGAGACACGGCCCAGACUCCUACGGGAGGCAGCAGUGGGGAAUUUUGGACAAUGGGCGCAAGCCUGAUCCAGCAAUGCGCGUGCAGGAUGAAGGCCUCGGUUG
rnacentral:rRNA from 1 species